UUUGCAAGCUCAGUCGGUACAGCAUGAGACUCUUAAUCUCAAGGCUGUGGGUUCGAGCCCUGCCCUGGGCAAAA